rnacentral:rRNA from 1 species
UAGCUGGUUUUAGAGGAUGAUCAGCAACACUGGGACUGAGACACGGCCCAGACUCCUACGGGAGGCAGCAGUGGGGAAUCUUAGACAAUGGGCGCAAGCCUGAUCUAGCCAUGCCGCGUGAGUGAUGAAGGCCUUAGGGUCGUAAAGCUCUUUCGCCAGAGAUGAUAAUGACAGUAUCUGGUAAAGAAACCCCGGCUAACUCCGUGCCAGCAGCCGCGGUAAUACGGAGGGGGUUAGCGUUGUUCGGAAUUACUGGGCGUAAAGCGCACGUAGGCGGAUCAGAAAGUUGGGGGUGAAAUCCCGGGGCUCAACCCCGGAACGGCCUCCAAAACUCCUGGUCUUGAGUUCGAGAGAGGUGAGUGGAAUUCCGAGUGUAGAGGUGAAA